GCCCAGGACUUCGCCAUACCAGGUAUAUAUGUUAUUGUUAAGGUCUUUCUGUAUGUCUCAUGUCCUUUUUUUGCCUCUAUUUUUUUCCCUUUAGGUUUUGCGGCCCAGGACUUGGCCAUACCAGGUAUAUAUGUUAAUGUUAAGGUCUUUGUGUAAGUUUCAUGUCCCUUUUUUUGCCCUUAUUUUUUUCCUUUAGGUUGUACAGCCCAGGACUUGGCCAUACCAGGUAUAUAUAUUAUUGUUAAGGUCUUUGUGUAUGUUUCAUGUCUUUUUUUUGCCCCUUUUUUUCCCCUUUAGGUUGUGUGGCCCAGGACUUGGCCAUACCAGGUAUAUAUGUUAUUGUUAAGGUCUUUGUGUAUAUGUCUUGUCCUUUUUUUGUCCUUUAUUUUUUCCUUUAGGUUGUGCGGCCCAGGACUUGGCCAUACCAGGUAUAUAUGUUAUUGUUAAGGUCUUUGUGUAUAUGUCUUGUCCUUUUUUUUCCUUUAGGUUGUUUGGCCCAGGACUUGGCCAUACCAGGUAUAUAUGUUAUUGUUAAGGUCUUUGUGUAUAUGUCUUGUCCUUUUUUUGUCCUUAUUUUUUUCCUUUAGGAUGUACGGCCCAGGACUUCGCCAUACCAGGUAUAUAUGUUAUUGUUAAGGUCUUUGUGUAAGUUUCAUGUCCUUUUUUUGCCCCUAUUUUUUUCCUUUAGGUUGUACAGCCCAGGACUUGGCCAUACCAGGUAUAUAUGUUAUUGUUAAGGUCUUUGUGCAUUUCUCAUGUCUUUUUGCCCCUAUUUUUUUUUCUUUAGGUUGUGCAGCCCAGGACUUGGCCAUACCAGAUAUAUAUGUUAUUGUUAAGGUCUUUGUGUGUGUCUCAUGUUCUUUUUUUGCCCCUAUUUUUUUCCUUUAGGUUGUGCGGCCCAGGAAUUGGCCAUACCAGGUAUAUGUGUUAUUGUUAAGGUCUUUGUGUAAGUUUCAUGUCAUUUUUUUGCCCCUAUUUUUUUCCUUUAGGUUGUACAGCCCAGGACUUGGCCAUACGAGGUAUAUAUGUUAUUGUUAAGGUCUUUGUGUGUGUUUCAUGUCUUUUAUUUGCCCCUUUUCUUUUCCUUUAGGUUGUGCAGCCCAGGACUUGGCCAUACCAGGUAUAUAUGUUAUUAUUAAGGUCUUUGUGUAAGUCUCAUGUCCUUUUUUUGCCCCUAUUUUUUUUCCUUUAGGUUGUGCAGCCCAGGACUUGGCCAUACCAGGUAUAUAUGUUAUUG
rnacentral:lncRNA from 1 species